GACGAACGCUGGCGGCGUGCUUAACACAUGCAAGACGAACGGAAAGGCCCUGCUUUUGUGGGGUGCUCGAGUGGCGAACGGGUGAGUAACACGUGGGUAACCUGCCCUUGACUUUGGGAUAACUUCAGGAAACUGGGGCUAAUACCGGAUAGGAGCUCCUGCUGCAUGGUGGGGGUUGGAAAGUUUCGGCGGUUGGGGAUGGACUCGCGGCUUAUCAGCUUGUUGGUGGGGUAGUGGCUUACCAAGGCUUUGACGGGUAGCCGGCCUGAGAGGGUGACCGGCCACAUUGGGACUGAGAUACGGCCCAGACUCCUACGGGAGGCAGCAGUGGGGAAUAUUGCACAAUGGGCGGAAGCCUGAUGCAGCAACGCCGCGUGCGGGAUGACGGCCUUCGGGUUGUAAACCGCUUUCGCCUGUGACGAAGCGUGAGUGACGGUAAUGGGUAAAGAAGCACCGGCUAACUACGUG
rnacentral:rRNA from 1 species